GCAGCAUUCCAGCAAUGAUCACAGGUGGUAAGAAGGAACCGAGGAGGCGGCAAGUCCCUAUAUACCGUGCCAUGAGGGCGCAUCUUCAGCGGGCACCAGAGCCGACCCGACGGAAAACACUGUGGGGAAAACUUUACGGUGGUGGUGCACGCGGCACGUCACACCUACAUUGGAAUGGGCAUAAGCAAGCACUCGAAUAAGAAUAAUGAGAAGCAUCUGAAGCAGACAGGAAGGAGGGUGGGUAAUGGAAUACUCAAAGAAUCAAUGGAUUCGAAGAACUCCAGUUACCAUACUGUCUUGGGGCCGAGGAAUAAAACACUGAUAUCUGACAGCCUGCUGAGGCCAGAAUCACUUCCUUUGUCGCCGGUGUGUAAAUUCCAAG